CAUCAUGCUAAACCGAGGCAUAGUAGCUUAAUAAAUUAAACUGUCUGCCACCACGAAUGACAUACCUCGCACGGUUGAUCUUAUUUUAGGCCGUGGGGUAGUAUUCAUGAUUCAGAUUAAUAUUUAGAUAUGUAUGGGAAUCAGGUAUUGUGGAUUCAUGGCUUCCAAUAAACGCAAGCGUUUAUUGUUAAUUACCCCUACAAAGUGUUAGGGCACCUUCGAUUAAGUGACCUUUGUAAUGCUGUGAUUGCAUAAUUCAGUAUGACAGUUGAUUGAAUUUGAUUCUGAACCAAGAUAUCAAAGUAUAUGAUCAAAUUGACGUUUCAGUGCUCAACAAUAUUGUUCACCCUAAGGUGAAAGAUUGGUUAAAUUCCCUAUAUAUAUAUUGGAAUUUAAUCAGAUUUGAUCCGAAUUAAACUCUAAUUAAAUGAAUUAGAGUUUGAUUUAGUUAAUUAAACUUUAAAUAUAUAUGAUAAAGUCCAAUGGAAUUUGAUUUGAGCUUUCAUCCUAAAUGUAUGUGUUAGGAUUAGCCCAAAUAUUUUGAAUUAGGCUCUAAUUUUAUAUCUUAGAGUCUAGUGUA
rnacentral:lncRNA from 1 species